UGGUGGUGGUGGUGAUGUCCAUCACGUUCUAGAGGCAGAGAGAAAGAAAGAGAGAGAGUCCCAUAUCGUGGCAUAGUCUGUGUCAGUCCGGUUGCCUACCUCGGGCGCUGCUGAGAGCCACCCUCGCUCGUGUGGCGGACUCGCGUCCUCCCCCUCUCCCUUCUUUCUCGCACUCGUUCGCUCGCUCGCUCGCUCGCUCGCUCUCUCUCUUUCUCUGUUUCUCUAUGUCUCUCGCGCGCGCAGAGACCAAAGCCGCUCGUUUAUAUCUUCCAACGGUAGCGGUAGCAGCAGUAUAGCACCAGCAGCAGCACCACCAGUGAAAUCGUGCGCGUCUUCCUACGUUUCGAGUGUUUCAGUUCGAUCCUCUUCCUCUUCCUCUUUUUCUCAUUCUUUCUCUCUCUCUCUCUCUCUCUCUCUCUCUCUUUCUCUUUUCUCUCUCUCUCUCUCUCUCUCUCUCUCUCUCUCUCUCUCUGCCACAAGAGUGCUUGCCAAAAGCAAAAUUCUCUUUUCGGUUUGUUCUUUCGUGUCUGCUCGAUAGUGUAGUCAUCAACCAGGUGUAUCGUAGCAAUAAGUGUUUCAUACUCGACAUGCUAUACGGUUGUUCUUAUAAGUGCUCCGACACUACGAGGACAACAAGGACGACGAGAAGGACGAAGACGACGAUAACGAGGAGAAGGAGGAUAAGGACGGUAAGGAGGAUAAGCAGCAGGAGAAACGGAGAUUUCUCGUCGAAGAGGCUCAUCGUAGGAAGAAGGAGUGUGGGAGCUGAGAGCGCGCUUCGUCGCUGCUGAGAAAGUCCUCCUCCUUCUCCUCCUCGUCGCUUACAAGAGAUAAAGAGGAAGACAGACAGACAAAGAGAGAGAGAGAGAGAGAGAGAGAGAGAGAGAAAGAGGAAAACCAAAGAAGAAGAAGAAGAAGAAGAAAAAGAAGAGUCGCGGUGGAGGCGGCGAAUGCAAGCAAAACGUCGCAAGCAGCCCGGCUUGAGCUGGCAUGAACGCCGAGGGAAACGACUACGGGUACGAGGACAACGUCAAUGUAAACGACAACAAAAGAAACAACAACAAAAGGAAGAACAAAAACAACAGUGGGAACAAGAAAAACAAGAUAAAGGAGAACGAGAAGAGCGGCUACCGUGAGGCUCGCGGCGAUGCUCAUAGACGUUACCUGACGAGCGCACUCGUGCGUACGAGCAAGUCGCGAUUUUCGUUAUCGACGCUCGAUCCCUCUUCUGUUCUGAGCGUCGCUGGUAUCACCGACGAUCAUCGUCAUCGACCUCACGGCGAACAACCCUACGCUCCUGCGCGCCGUUUUCGCGUCCUCUUACAUUCUUGUUAAGAUAUCGUCUUAUUUCGCUCGAUCAAGGAAUACUACGGCAGCAUCAACAGCUGUUUGAAGGGACAUUGGCUUCUCAUCCAAACAGAUUACGAUGAACAAGAAACCAUCGUAUUGGGGUAGAGGGUGUCUCGCGUGACACACGUCCUUCCUCGGUUCUUUUUCACCAGGAGACGGAGUGUCCGGGUCUCGUUCGGCCACGCUUCGUCUCCUCUCCUUCAUCUUUCUCCUCUUCUUUUUCUUCUUCUACAUCUACUUCUAUUUCUACUUCUAUUUCUAUUUCUAUUUCUAUUUUUAGUUCUAUUUCUACUACUCUUCGAGCACUGUCGUUAUCUUAAUCUUUUCCUUUUCCUUUCCUACCUUUUCAUCGUCACCGUCAAUUUCAACUACCUUUCCUUUUUUCUCAUCUCUCUCUCUCUCUCUCUCUCUCUCUCUCUCUCUCUCUCUCUCUCUCUUGUUUUGCUCGUUACGUUUGAAGCUACCCUUACGACGAGGACACGCGUACCAGGGAGGCACGAUAGUAUGACGGUGAUGCUGCUGCAACGUUCGGUCACCCCGCAGUCGACGCAUCGCCAAAAGACAGCGAAGAAGGACUGCAGCGCGAAGCCGCCCUUUAUCUUCCUGCUGGACGAUCGUCAGGAGCAUAGGCGAUCUAUAGACGCCUCCAUCAUCACGACCACUAACAAUAAUAAUAACAACAACAAUAACAAUAACAACAACAAUAACAACAUUAUCAAUAACUUUAACAACAAUUACGAGAACAAUUACACUCCCACGACCAAUAAUAAUAACAACAAUAACAAUAUCAACAACAACAACAAUAACAACAACAACAACAAUUACGAGAGUGGGAACAAAAACAAUAUCGUGAAAAGGAGCGUCCGUAGGAGCAGCGGAAGCCGCGAGUACGCCGUCGAGGAGGCGCCGGCUUCGGUGACGUCUCAGAGACGCACCGCCGGUGGCCAGGACGUCGCGAUGCGAUAUUAUCGGAUCUGGAUCUACGCCUGUAACGGGGUGCUCUUCUUCAGCGCGGCUGCAUUCGCCGCGGUCGUAUCAAUGUCCAUUAUAUUCACCGGCGAUCCCAGAAGGCACGUAAUACCUGGAGUCCCAAGAGCCUUCGAUCCGACGGCCCUAUAUGCUUACCUCGCUUUGGGUACUCAAUUGGGACUCGUUCAAUUACUUGGUUGCGUUGCCGUAAGAAGACUCAGCGCCAAAUUACUCAACGUUUAUUGGGUUCUACUCUUGGUCCUACUCUUCGGAGACAUCGUUAUCGGUAUCGUUUGGGUCGUCCGUUCCGAGGGAAUGAACGCCCAACUCAGGCCCAUGCUGAGGCUACGAUUACAGACGGAGUACGGUAAGGAGCCACGAUUCAGCGAGCAUUGGGAUCGACUGCAGAAGGAAUUCACGUGUUGCGGUGUAACAGGGCCGCGUGAUUUCGGAUCCCGUUGGCCGCAGACAUGUUGCGGGCCCAUCAUGAAUGUCAGCGACACCUGCCAGCAACCAUACUCACGAGGAUGCGACGAAUCCUUGCUACGCUGGUUAAGAGAAACUUCCGAUCGCCUAUUUGUAUUUGGCUUUUGUGUCGUGGCCUUCACAAAACUCUGUUUCCUUGGUAUUCUACGAUACGAGAUACGUGAGAUGAUACAAAAGAUACGGAUGCUGCGCGAACCACCCCCACCGGCGACAACCUUUGCCCAGCCGCCAUUUUCCCAAGUGAUGUCGGAAGCCACUACCAAUAAUGGCAGCAUCGUUCGACGAACCACUCUGCCUAACGCCGUUACUCCUUCCGGAAACGCAUCGUUGCUCUUGCAAACGGAAGAAUGCAAUACAGGCCGACAUCCUCUCUUAGCGAACAAUCUUCAAGAUGGUGGAGCUGAUAGCGACACGAACAGUCACUGUGCUUUGAUCUUAGAAGAGACAACGCCAACGUCGGCCAAUCACAAUUGCGGUACGCGCGAGAAGAGCAACGGUAACAAUAAUUACGAGAUGCGGGAGUUUAAUAGAAGAUUAUUACUCUCGAAUGGCGGUAGCCCAGGUACGCAAGGUGUCACCGCAGGUGGACAAAGCAGGCGUACCUGACUAUGGAAGUGGUGGCGAAACACCUGGAACCAUCUUCUCUACAGGAGCAACCGGCCCGCCGAAGUACCAGUAUAUAAAUAAGCCUACGUAUAAUACACACCUAUACAUAAUAUACAUAAUAUACAUAUAUAAAUAUACCGAAGUUAUAUAGGGACUAUUACUUUCGUUUUUUAAAAGAGAUGAGCCGGAGGCUUACGAACGGAGAAAGAUUGACGAACGAAAAGAACGAAGAAAGAAGGAAAGAAAGAAUGGAAAAAGAGAGAGAGAGAGAGAGAGAAAGAGAGAUAUGGAGACAAUGAAGUGAUAAUAAAAGACGUAACGCUCAGUCGUUUGAGUAAAAUCGUGAGAACUCUGGAAAAGCUCUCUGUUAUUAUCAGUGAUAUAUUGGAAUGGCGUUUUUUUUUGGUUUCUUUUUCUCUUCAGUUUUUUCAUUUUCUUUUCUUUUGGUUUUUUUUUCUUUUUUGUUUUUUUUUUUUUUUUGUUUUUUUUUUGUGGUUACAAUGAAAGAAGAAACGACGGAAAAAACGAGUGAGGUUACUUGGAUAACGAAAAAAAUCAUAGGCAUAAAGCGCGAUCGUUAAUCGUCCUUAAUAUUUUUAUCCUCGCGUCUCGAGAAAAGACCUUUUAUUUAUUCUCUUUGCCUCCUUCUCUGCUAGUCGGCUCUUACAGCCGCAUUGAUCUCGACGGUCUCUCUGUUUUACUCUGUGGAAAAUCUGUACCAUAAAUAUACAGAUAUAUACAUACAUACAUACAUACAUAUAUAUAUAUAUAUAUAUAUAUCUAGCAUGCGUGUAUAUAUCUACAUAUAAGUGUAUGUAUAUAUAUUCAAAUAAACGCCGACACGUUCGCCGCGAUCGUUCCUCUUAUUCGCUGUUCUAUAACCGUACAGAGAAGCCAGACCUAUGCGUGUUCUUUCGAUGUACAUCGAACAUCAUACAUGCACGCACACACAUAUAUAUAUUACACACACAGAAAGAAAAAUAGAAAGAGAGAGAGGGUAUAUAUAUAUAUAUACAACAGAUACAUAAAAAACCCACGCAUAUACAAAAACGCGAACGUACAGGCCACGCACUAUUCGUGAACAGUAUAAAGUAAGUAAAUAAGUAAGUUGAUAUUUAUAACCAGAAAAACGUUAUAUCUGGAUUGGAGAUUAAACGUAUAUGUGUAAAUACGAGGUCUUUGAAACGAUACUUUUCCUUUUUAAUUAAUUAAUACGCGUGCCCAUUUUCUGAAGGGAGCAACCCAUAAUAGAGAAUGAGAACGUGUUUACGUACAAUCGAAACAAAAUUUAUAACUUUUCCGCCAUCUUCUUCUCCUUCUUCUUUUUCUUCUAUUAUUUCUUUUUUUCUUUUUCUUUUUCUUUUUUUUUUUUUCCUUCUUAUGCAAUUCUUUCUUCUUUAUUUUUCCUUCCGUGAGAAUGAAAGACGAUAGGGAUCAAAAGUGAAAAAGAAGAAAAAAAAAAAAAGAGAAAAAGAAAAGUCAACGAAAUUAAAUCAUUGGGUUCGUCAAAAACGAAAUGAAUCAGUGGAACGAAUUCAUUUAAUAAAAUAUCCCAUCUAUAUUAUUUCUUAUUUCGGACAAUCCUAGCGAAAUGUAACGAUCGACGGAUUCGACGAUGAGAAAAAGAAGAAAUUUCAUGAAGGAUCUUUGAAAUUGAAGGAACGAGAAGACAGGAGAGGGGAGGAGAGGAGAGGAGAGGAGAAGAGAAAAGAAGAGAAGAGAAAGACGAAGGAGAACUGCGAGGAUUUGUACUGUAAAGAGCGACUCGAUCGUUCGUUUAGCUCGCCCGGAGUAGAAGCCCUUCUUUCAGUUUCAAAAAUAGCCACAACGAGAAACGAGAGAGAAAGAACGUAAUGCAUACAUACAUACAUACAUACAUACAUACAUACAUACAUACAUACAUAGAUAGAUAGAUACAUAGAUACAUACGUACGUACUUACUUACAUGCGUAUUUGUGUACACUAAAUGCACGUAUGCAAUUUUACCGUGGACAAAAACGAGAUAUAAUAGGAUGCUUUUUGCUUCCUUCAGAAUAAUAAUAGAAAACAAAGCAUUUUUCUUUUAGGAACAAAUUUUCUUUUCUAUUAUUUAAUAAUAUCCAAAGAAAAUUCGAAAUGAUCAAUAAGAUCAUGUAGAAUGUAUAAAUAGUUUGGAAUAAAUUUAUAUAAGGGCAAGAUAAGUCUAAAAAAAUUAGAAGAGAAACGUUUUUAAAGCGUUCUAAUUGUGGCUUUGCCUUUGCAAUGUUAUACUAAAUUUAUCUCUUAAGUUUGCUUUUUCUUCUUAAGCUUGCCGAAGAAGACAAGACGAGACAGUGACAAGAUACGUCUCUUCUUGUACUCUUAUUCACGACGUACAUAUACACACACACACACACACACACAUAUAUAUAUAUAUAUAUAUAUGCGUGCGUGAUGUGUGUGUCUGUAUGUGUAUGUAUAUAUGUAUGUAUAUGUAUCUCCUACGAUAAAUAUGUAUGCGUUAAAAACUCGCACCUCUUUAUCAAGAGACCCAAGAGAUUGUCACGAUCGAGCCGAUGUCGUGCUAUUAAUGAUAUCCAAUGAAAAAAAGAAAAAAAAAAAAAAGGAAGAAAAAAAGAAAAAUAAAAUGAAAAAAGAAAAUGCAAUAGAUAGGAAAAGAGAGAUCGAAAGUAAGAAUCGAGAUGACACUGGGACGCUUUUUAAUUAAACGAUAAUAAUUCUAACGUAACACAUUGAUACGUCACAAAGGAUAAACGAUAGCCAUUGCUAUCCUUUCAUCAAACUUUCUUACUAAUGCAACGUAUUCCUUAUACGUCUUUCCGUCAUUGCACGGUCGUUUCACACACACAUAUGCUACUUUUGUAGAAUUAUUUUUAGCGAUAAGAGAGAACAAGAGAGAAAGAGAAAGUGUACCUGCGUGCAUAUGUAUAUCUAUACGUGUGAAAGUGAGAGAGAGAGAGAGGGAGGGAGGGAGGGAGAAGGAAUUUUUUGUUUCCUCGUUUAAAACCUCUUUUAACAAAAAGAAAAUAAUUGAUGGCUUUUCCCGAGACAGCUCUAGCAGAUCAUCAUAUUUAUAUGAAAAAUGAAAGGAGUAUUCUCGUUAAUAGUAUAUCACAGUAUGUCGCGUAAAAACUAUCAUCGUUGGUAACGACACGAACGAAGGAUAGAAACGAUUCAUCGAUUUAUAGGAAUAUUUUAAAUAGAAUAUGUGAGAUAUACCAUCAUUAUGAAUUUUUCUUUUAUCGAGGAAACAUAUAUACGUAUCUAUGUAUGUAUGUAAAAAAAGAAAAAUAGAAAAGUCUCUAAUGUAUAACAGAUGAUCAACAGUUUCUAAUUUUUUUUACACAAAUGAUACAUGUAGAGCGAGUAGUGUGUAUUGAUUUGUGGUAAAAAAUAAUGAAGAUAUGACAUAUAAAGCUCGAGGUAAUUGGCUUUCUAGUUAGGAUCUAUCGAAUCUUAGGAUUAUAUGCGUUAACGAAUGUAAAAGGCAUUGUAUACAAAAAAGAAAAAAGAAAAAAAAGAAAAAAAGAAAAAAACAAAACAAAACAAAUAUUAGUAGGCUGUAUAUAGCCGGUGUAUGGUAGAAAGUUAAUUAAGUAUCGAUCGUCUGCUUAAGAAAAAGCCAGAAAUAUUGUGUCUAAAAAGAAAAGAACUAGGAAAAAAAAAAAAAAGAAAAAAAAAGGAAAAAGAAUUAAAUAGAAAGAAAAAUUGAAUGACCACAUCAUAACGCGAAUAUACGCGCGUAGAAGGACCUAAGGGGAAUAACUUUCUGGAAAAAGGAUCGAAUCGUUUUCUAAGAAAAGAAUUCCUGAAAUUCUCCUCCUCCUUCUUCUUCUUCUUCUUCUUCUUCUUCUUCUUCUUCGAUAAAAAUCGAUCAUUUAUAUUUGCGUGUAAUCACAACGGCGUGGAUAACAGGGUAUUAUCAAAAUGACGUACGUCAGCAAUCGAUUAUUAGAAAGUCAUUAGUAAUUAUAGUAUCAUAUGUGCGGUACGUAUUUGUUAUUGAAAACUUUGUAAUACCUUCGUUUCCUUGAAUGUGACAUUUGUUAGAAUAUUAUUUCGGAGACGUUUCUGACAAAAAAAAAAAAAAAAGCUCUUAAGGGUUCUUUCUUAAUCAGGCUAUCGAAUAAUCGUUGAAUGUAAUAAAUUAUUAACAAUGUCUCAAAGCUUACACCUCGCAGACACGCAGCCUCUGCCACUACUGAUUGUAAUGUAAGGAGAUUAUACAUAUACGUGAAAUAGACUAAAUGAUUUUUAAUUAAUUAUUUUUAGAAGGCAAGUGUGUUACUAUAAGCCGCCCAAAGGUGAAAGGAAACCACGCUGGAUCAUUGAUUAUAGAGAGAAAGUAAAAUGUAAAUGCUUUAACAUUAAACUUUUGGCCGAGUAGAAUUUACUAGUUGUUAACUAGCUAUCACAUAUUCCGAUUAUUCAAGUAACAAAGGGACGAUUUGUACACUCGAAUCUAACUCGGCCAAUAAAUCCUAACAGAAUAUACAGUCCUGUCGUAAAGAAGGCUUUAAAGUAAACCACUUAGCGAUUUGUAACUGAUUGAUAUUUAAAGGUAAUAUGUAAAUUGAGAUGAAUCUAAAAGAGGGAGCUUUGAAUAGUGCCUGCUUAAAAUCCAAUUUACUAUAUCUGAUAUUAUUAGAUAUGGUACUCACAUUACGACGUAAUCGACAGAUUUAAUAGAGAGCUAUCGUAGCGAAGUAUGGGAAAAAGUGUCAUUUAUGGAAUACGUUCGUUGUUUUAAAGUCACAGAUGACAAUGCACAACGAAAUACAUACAUAAAUGUAGCCGCUGUUUAUAUUAUAUUUAUGGGAAUUCGAAAAAAGCAACGUAUCUCUGAUAUAGAGAGAUCGUAUCUAAACUUAAAGAUACGUUAGCUUUAACUUACUUGAAAAUAAGUUUGUACCUUAAGUCAAACUGUUGUAAUGGACAUUUUUUAAAUUAAUACUAUGUGAAUCAAAGACAUAUAUACAGGUACAUACGUACAGGCGCAUUCAUACGUUGAAGAAAAAUUAUUUAACUAACCAUUUUUGCUUUCUUCCAUGGCUUCUACCAACAGAAACCACUCUUCCCCAUACUGUACUAUGAGUUCGUGUUAUUCAAUACCCUUAAGUGUACAUAAAACGUAUGUGGCCGUAAUUGUAUGUAAAUACUGUUACACAUUCUAUGAUUACCAUGAAAUAUGAAUACAAGGAAAAUUGGUUAUUUAGUAUAA